UUUAGCAACAUAAAUGUGCACCUGCAUCAUAGAAGACCAAGAAGUAUGGUUCUUCAAAUGUCAAUGAGAAUAGAUGAUGUUUUUGAUACCAAUCUAAACAACCCAGAUAAUGAGAAGUUCAAACUCUUUAAACACAUACAAAUAAAAAUAAUUUCUGAAAUGGAUUUAUUGCUUUGUAUUGUUCAGGAAACAAAUUAAUAUCCACAACCAAGACACACACUCUCUCUCUCUGUCUCUCUCUCUCUCUCUCUAUUAUUGCUGUAUUAUUAUUAUUAAUUGUUCUAUAAGUUGCUUUCUGUUUUCUUUGUUUGUUUGUUUUUCAGUUCUUCAAAUGUCAAUGAGAAUAGAUGAUGUUUUUGAUACCAAUCUAAACAACCCAGAUAAUGAGAAGUUCAAACUCUAUGCCAGUAAAAUUGAGUUAGCUAUUGAAGAAAGUUACAAAUAUGUGUCUGCCUACAUAAAAGAUUCAGUGAGAGUCACUGGUUUCAGGCCUGGUAGCAUUAUAGCAGACUAUCAGAUUGAAUCAACAGCCAGCAGUCCCAACAGCCCUGGAUUUGCAGAAGCAAACACACAGGUCAUCAGCGCUCUCAGAGAUCAAGGAAUCACUGUAGCUCAGAAUGCUUUUGCUCAAAGUGAACCAAAGACCUUGUCCACUGCAAAAAAUUGGUAUCCAGAGCAAAAUAUGGUGCUGAAAUGCAUACGCCCAGAGUCUGUUGUGGGUACAAUGAGAUGGACAGUGAACGACCAAGAUCCUACACUAAACAAAGUUAAAUACGUCAUUUCAGAUGAACAAACACACAGGUCAUCAGCGCUCUCAGAGAUCAAGGAAUCACUGUAG
rnacentral:lncRNA from 1 species